rnacentral:lncRNA from 1 species
CCUAGCAUUUUCCUGCAUAAGAGGGUGCUGCCUGUAUAUCUACUUUACUUCAGUGGUACGCCGGCAUGAUCAACCUGUAUCGCAUCAAUGCGCAGUUCAUGAAUGCGACACCUUGCUUAUUUGAGAAAUGUAAGAGAUGGUAAACUGAUGCCCGUUCAGUCACAUAUUUCGUGGAUCGCUGCUGGAGCAUUGAGCGUAUUACCUGAUAGACCUGUUGAGCAGAACGUUUGUCCAUGCCGUCCAAAUGUUCUGAAGUUAUUGCAUGCUGCCAUGCUCGGUGAAGAAGGUAAGCUGUGACGGAGACGAGGUUGUUGCUAGGGAAGGUAAUAGGCCGAUGCGGUGAUGCCAGAUUGCCAGCCAUGGUGCUUUUGCUUUGUUAUUUGGCUCCCUACCAAAGCACCCGUUUCCUGCGCCAUCGCGACCCGCACGAGCACAACUCUGCUGUUGUUGGUCUCCCCUGCGAGACGUCUCGAGUCCGGGGAGGUUGGAGGACGCCUGGACAACCUCAUCGCGAUCCCUGCUUCCUGACGGCGACGGCGGGACAGGUGGCAGCUCCCGCCGUUGCCGACGAGCUCUCCGCGGAACUCCGCGGACACCUGGGCGAACCACGCCGCUGACGACCCCGCGCCGCGCAACCAAAUGGCAUCUCGCCGGCACUUCAGAGGUCGCGUCGAC